rnacentral:rRNA from 1 species
AUACGUAGGGAGCAAGCGUUAAUCGGAAUUACUGGGCGUAAAGCGUGCGCAGGCGGUUUUGUAAGACAGUGGUGAAAUCCCCGGGCUCAACCUGGGAACUGCCAUUGUGACUGCAAGGCUGGAGUGCGGCAGAGGGGGGUGGAAUUCCGCGUGUAGCAGUGAAAUGCGUAGAUAUGCGGAGGAACACCGAUGGCGAGGGCAAUCCCCUGGGCCUGCAUUGACGCUCAUGCACGAAAGCGUGGGGAGCAAACAGGAUUAGAUACCCUGGUAGUCCACGCCCUAAACGAUGUCAACUGGUUGUUGGGGAUUUAUUUUCUCAGUAACGAAGCUAACGCGUGAAGUUGACCGCCUGGGGAGUACGGCCGCAAGGUUAAAACUCAAAUGAAUUGGCGGGG